AUUGAACGCUGGCGGCAGGCUUAACACAUGCAAGUCGAACGAGCGGCGGACGGGUGAGUAAUGUCUGGGAAACUGCCUGAUGGAGGGGGAUAACUACUGGAAACGGUAGCUAAUACCGCAUACCAUAAGAUGAGCCCAGAUGGGAUUAGCUAGUAGGUGGGGUAAUGGCUCACCUAGGCGACGAUCUCUAGCUGGUCUGAGAGGAUGACCAGCCACACUGGAACUGAGACACGGUCCAGACUCCUACGUGAGGCAGCAGUGGGGAAUAUUGCACAAUGGGCGCAAGCCUGAUGCAGCCAUGCCGCGUGUGUGAAGAAGGCCUUAGGGUUGUAAAGUACUUUCAGCGAGGAGGCGUUACUCGCAGAAGAAGCACCGGCUAACUCCGUGCCAGCAGCCGCGGUAAUUC
rnacentral:rRNA from 1 species